CAGAUUGAACGCUGGCGGCAGGCCUAACACAUGCAAGUCGAGCGGAUGAAGGGAGCUUGCUCCUGGAUUCAGCGGCGGACGGGUGAGUAAUGCCUAGGAAUCUGCCUGGUAGUGGGGGAUAACGUCCGGAAACGGGCGCUAAUACCGCAUACGUCCUACGGGAGAAAGCAGGGGACCUUCGGGCCUUGCGCUAUCAGAUGAGCCUAGGUCGGAUUAGCUUGUUGGUGAGGUAAUGGCUCACCAAGGCUGCGAUCCGUAACUGGUCUGAGAGGAUGAUCAGUCACACUGGAACUGAGACACGGUCCAGACUCCUACGGGAGGCAGCAGUGGGGAAUAUUGGACAAUGGGCGAAAGCCUGAUCCAGCCAUGCCGCGUGUGUGAAGAAGGUCUUCGGAUUGUAAAGCACUUUAAGUUGGGAGGAAGGGUUGUAGGUUAAUACCCUGCAAUUUUGACGUUACCGACAGAAUAAGCACCGGCUAACUUCGUGCCAGCAGCCGCGGUAAUACGAAGGGUGCAAGCGUUAAUCGGAAUUACUGGGCGUAAAGCGCGCGUAGGUGGUUUGUCAAGUUGGAAGUGAAAGCCCCGGGCUCAACCUGGGAACUGCUUUCAAAACUGGCAAGCUAGAGUAUGGCAGAGGGUGGUGGAAUUUCCUGUGUAGCGGUGAAAUGCGUAGAUAUAGGAAGGAACAUCAGUGGCGAAGGCGACCACC
rnacentral:rRNA from 1 species